AAGUAUGACAUCGAGUAUGGACACUCCUUUACUGAUCCCCUUGCUCAGGGGUGCCUUUGAGGUCUCACCAUGCUCAGCAGAACCUUCCAUUGAAGUGCGUGUGGAUUAGGUCCGUUGAUGCUUUGAGCAGGUGGCCGGACAGGAUCCGUGUUGGUACGUGCUCCCAGGCGCAUUUCGGCUGGAAGGCUUCAACUGGACGUUCGUUAGAUCGUUCCAACUCCAAAAGGGUUGGUACACACUGUUGCAAGUCAUUUCAUAAGAUGCAGGGAUAUCUGCUAUUCUGUCUGGAACUUGUGUUUCGUGCUGAAGCAAGCUGAAUUAGUUGGUGUAUUAUUAUUUCCUGCACCUGCCAACUCAAGGAUCCAUAGAUGUGUCCUCUUGUUGUAUGGCUACGCUCACUUCUAGCCUGUAAUGCAUAGCUAUCCUCCCUUUUAAGCUGGGUAGCUGCACAUUUGCACUAGUCUUUUAUCUUCUACCAAAAGGUUCGCCCAAAG